AGAAAACAGCAAGCUUUUGGGCUCAGAAAGCUUAGACCAUCAUGGCUACGAAAACUGUACUGCUAGUCAGAAAAAAUGCAAUUCUGGAACUCCUUAGUGAAACAGCAAGGCAAAACAACAUCGGAACAGUUGCCAAGUGAUCUUCUCCACAGUACCCAUGAACUUCAGCCUUGAACUGAAGAGGACUCAUCAAAUGGCUCGGGAGAGAGAUAGCAUGGAAUUGGAAGAGAAGCAUGAAGGGCAGUCAACUGCAGUCUUGGUGUGUGGAGGAAAAGGUCCUGUUCUCGCUGUUGCUACUCCCACAUAGGUGGACUCUGUAACUGAUCGUGUGUGGGUAGGGCCCUAUUGAAAUUAAGGAGAUUCGGCAAUAUUGCAGGGUUCUGUUUUUGAAAAUUCAAUUGCAAGAUCAGGACCCUACUGUGACUGCUUACUGUGAAUACUGUCAGUGUAUCAUUGAUUGUUCUGGAACCUGCCUUGUGGGAUAAUUACCAAAUAAUAUAUUCCUCAAAACUUCUUAAUGGCACUGAGACUUUGUGGAUAGUUGGUCACAUGAUGAGAAAAUUCAGCUGCCCAUCAAGACUACUUCUACCUGAUCUCUCUCCUUCAGUAUCAAGAGGUUGACACUGAUUUUGAUCAACAUAUGAUGCCAGCUUCCAUCAUUCAGUCAUUAAAUUUUCAGACGACACUGGAUACUUUCUCUUCAGCUGCCUCUCAUGCAUUGGUUGACUUCUUCAUAAACAGAACUGCUCACUAUCUUCCUUUAAUAUCUUCUUAAUGUUUUAUGUACUGUGAAGGUUAAAACAACCCACCUAGACAAUAGUUAUAUUGCAGGUAUAUUAAUGCCAACGCUUAUCACAGUAGCACUGCGUCAUUGACUUUGUACUCUGCCAUAAUCUCUCUCUUGUCUCCUAUGUGUAGAAUUCAAGCACGUUGACUUUUUGUUGUGUGUUUAUUCAUGGCCCAAACAAAUGGGAAUUGGUCCAGGGUGAGGCUUCAUAAGAUUUGUGGUAAUGCAAAUAAAUAAUAAUACUGAAUAUCCAUUGGAUACUGUAGUGUAUCUGUUGGAUUCUGCUGUGCCUCCUGUCACAUCAUAUUUAAUACAGAAAGAGGGUAUUACAAAUAGAGGCCUCACAAAAGGCAAAGAGAGGUGAGCUGCAGCCAGCAGAUAAAAUGCUAACCCCAGAGGCCUUCUCAACAGUCAGUCCCAAGUCAGUAGCUACUGGCAUUGUGCCCUGACAGUAUCCCUCCCUUAGCUUCUCCACAGCAGUAAGAGCAGACUCUGCUUCCUCAUGAUAGAAGGAAGUAACAUGAAUAUUUCAGAGUUCUCCAGUGUGUACAAAAAGAAAAAGGACUUUGUAUACUUCCUUAGCAUUCAUCUGUUCCUUAGUGCAUACCCUUCCUGACACAGCAUCUCUUGGCACUGAAAUCUUGAAUGACCACAAGCAGUUGUUCCAGCAGUCCUGUUGGUCAGCCCUUUUUCAAAUGCCAUCUGGUUCUCUGUUGAGAAGGAACCUACGCUAGUUCUGAUUUGGUAUCUAGGUACAUUUUUAUCUCAUAGUGCUCUGUUUUCCUGGUGCCUUGGAGAUAAUGAUUCUUCAGAAGAGUGGUAAGCGUGAAUUGCAUCAGGAAUUUCCCAGGUAUGUUACCCUCUUUCUGGAAGUGGGUCUGUAUUUAUCCCUUUCCUUUUUUUGAAAGUGACACUGAAAUGUCGGUGUAUAGAUGAUACAGAGAUGAUAGAAUGGGCUAUGCAAACAAAUGGCACUAUAUGUGCUAAAGAAAACAUGGUCAAAUAAGUUAAAUUUCAUCAGCAUAUACCACAGAACAUAAUUACGAGUGGCUCUAUACCUGAAUAGGAGAAGUGUAGUAAGAGCUCUGGAGUAGCUGAUAGGAUAGAGACAGUGACUGUGCUGAGCGAGACUAGAUAGGCUAUACAUCCAGAAAGCUUGAUCAUAACUAGAGUUCUCAGUUAUCUACAUAUAGGCUGGAUAAAUUUAACAUUAGGCCAUCAUGCACAGGCUAUAUUUUUAGGUACCAUAAAGAACUACUCUUUGAGCAAACUAGCUUGAGAAUCCGCAGGACGGGAGACAGCCAUAGAUUUAGUCCAGAGUGGUACACAGAACUUGGUUCAAGAAGUAACUGUGGAAGAGUCUUUCAGUAGUGGUAUCUCAUAUCAUACUGAAGUUUGUCAUGCUUGUAGGAGAGAAAAAAACAAAAAGCCCAUUCCAGUACUGUUUAACUUUAAAAAAGGGGAAUUGCGUGGAUAUGAAGAAAUAAUUUAAAUUAAAGUUAAAAGGAUCAGUUAACAAGGUAAACUACUUUGGGGAAACACAGAGACUUUGCUUUCUGAUUCUAACCCAAUAAAACAAGAAUUGUCCAGCACAAUUGAACAGUAGAACGUAGUAGAAACAAAAAGACAUUCUUCAGAAAGUGAAGUUCAAACAAGCAAAACAAAAAAGUGCACAACUUUGGCAAGUGAAAUGUAGACCUAAUAUAUGCUAAUAGGGUUGUGAGGCCAAUGCAUAAUCAGGGGUAAAGAGAAUAUUUAAAGAUGACAAAGCCAUAUCAGGAAAAAAAAAAAAAGAAUUCUUUGCCCUGGCAAAGUUUAUUACAGGAAGGUUAGGGACAUCCCCCCACCAAAGCUGUUUUAAGGAAAAUCUCAAAUCUGAAAUGCCAAUAAAAGACAUUUUAGAACAAAAUGGUGGAAUAAACAUGAACAAAUUGCAGGAUAACAUAUUGUUCACUCAGUAGUCCUAGAGGAAUUCAGAAAGGAAAUUGCUGAACCAAGAACUGGGUUGUAUAAUCUAUCACUUAAAUAAGCCUUGAUAACAGAGGAACAGAAAAUAGCAAAUGUGACACCAAUCUUUAAAAGGGCUCUAGGGAAGAUCUUGGGCUAAUAAGUCUGACUUCCAUGACAGGCAAAAUGAUAGUGAAUGUGAUAAAGGAUAUAUUUACUAGGAGCAUGGAUAGGUAUAAUAGACACCCAUCAUCUUGGCUUUUGUACAGGGAAGUUUUGUCUUGGAGCUUUUGUUAGUUAUUUGAAGAAGUCAACAGAUACAUAGGUAAGGGUGAUGCAAAAGCUUUAAAAAAGGUCCCUCACCAAACACGGUUAACACAAUGAAGUAUUGGGUUACUGAAGAAGAUCUUUUUAUGGAUCAAUAAAUGGUUACAGGGUGAGCAACAGUAUAGCAAUCAAUGGGUAGUUUUAAGGAUGCCAUCUCCUAAAGAUUUGUACUAGCACCUUUGCUGGUCAGCAUGUUUCUAAAUGGCCUGAAAAGGGGCCUAAACAGUGCAAUGAUAAAGCUUUGAUAUCAGUCAAGUCAGACCUAAUGCUGACUCUGAAGAGUCACAGAAGGAUCUCACAGCAGGAACUGUGGUGAGCCAGGAGCCCUGGCUGUCACAGAGGCCAGAUAUCACUGACCCGCUGU